rnacentral:rRNA from 1 species
CCAUAGCGGAGGAAAAGAAACCAACCGGGAUUGCCUUAGUAACGGCGAGUGAAGCGGCAAAAGCUCAAAUUUGAAAUCUGGUACCUUUGGUGCCCGAGUUGUAAUUUGGAGAGGGCAACUUUGGGACCGUUCCUUGUCUAUGUUCCUUGGAACAGGACGUCAUAGAGGGUGAGAAUCCCGUGUGGCGAGGAGUGCGGUUCUAUGUAAAGUGCCUUCGAAGAGUCGAGUUGUUUGGGAAUGCAGCUCUAAGUGGGUGGUAAAUUCCAUCUAAAGCUAAAUAUUGGCGAGAGACCGAUAGCGAACAAGUACAGUGAUGGAAAGAUGAAAAGAACUUUGAAAAGAGAGUGAAAAAGUACGUGAAAUUGUUGAAAGGGAAGGGCAUUUGAUCAGACAUGGUGUUUUGCGCCCUCUGCUCCUUGUGGGUGGGGGAAUCUCGCAGUUCACUGGGCCAGCAUCAGUUUUGGUGGCAGGAUAAAUCCGUAGGAAUGUAGCUUGCUUCGGUAAGUAUUAUAGCCUAUGGGAAUACUGCCAGCUGGGACUGAGGACUGCGACGUAAGUCAAGGAUGCUGGCAUAAUGGUUAUAUGCCGCCCGUCUGAAAAC